AGUUAAUGAGUUUGAAUAAACAUUUAUUUUGAAAAUAAAAAAUAGAAUCUAAUUUUCUAUUAACUU
rnacentral:tRNA from 1 species